rnacentral:lncRNA from 1 species
CCUCAGUUUCCCUUUGUGUGCAUUCUCCUUGGCUGGCAAUCAAUGGGUCGGGGCUGGCGGGGCAGGGCUAGGGGUGAUGCUAUGAAGCCAGACAGCUCUCACCCCUGCGGUAGGCAACUGAAGAGAGACAUCCCUGAGGCAGGGGACUGUCCACAAUGAACCCUCAUCUCACCCCGCCAAGACCCUAAGAUCCGUUCUGCAAAACCGGGUAAGUUCAAAGCUGGUGAUUCUAAAUUUCCAAUAUUAGAAAUCCCUCACUCGUCCAGAAGUCACUUGAUGAACAGCUUGAGUUACCUAGACCGUUGAAGAGAAUCAAAAAAGAAAGCUAAAAACUCCUCUGAAGGAGCCAUUUCAAAGUUGCAAAACAGAAGCAUUCAAGUUGGUGCACUUGACCCACAGGUCUGAAAUGGUGAUGCUUAGAGAGGGUGAAGGACAACGUUGUGGAGAUAAGACUGUAAACAGCACAAGUCAACAAGAGGCAGCCAGACACGACGGAGGGGAGAGGGCCAAACAAAGGCUUUCUAUAGGCUGAGCUUGGACCAAGAGCCACAGUGUGCAACCUCUCAUCUUCACUGAUGAGGAAGCCGAGACCUGGAGAAGUUUGGUGAUGUCCGAAAUCAGCUGCCCAGACUGAUGGCCUUUAAACACUUAGGUAUCUUUUCAAAAUCAAGCAAGAGGAGCUCGGGUUUGAGCACAUCAUAAUAACAGCAACGUGUCAGGUGUGUGCUAAGGCUUGUACACACUAUCUUGUGAAACCUCCAGAGGAGCCCUUGGAUGGGAAUUCCUCUUGUCCUUUUUUCUAUGAGGAAAGGCCAGCUCAGAGGAGUCGAGCAGCUCCCCAGGGUCACACAGCUACAUAAGUAGCAGGCCGGCCUAGGGGCCCUGAUGUGAAGGCAGAUGGACUCCCCACUGGGACCCUGCACUGUAUCACUUCACUGUAAAAUGGAAAUGGGAGAGAGGGGGGAAUAGGAAGUGGGAUAGUUAUUAGCUUCCUGUGGCUGUUCAAACAAAUUACCACAUUUGAUGGCUUAACACAACACAGAUUUGUUAUCUCACAGCUCUGGAAGUCCUAAGUCCUAAAACCAAGGUCUCAGCAGGGCUGUGCUCCUUCUGGGGGCUCCAGGAGGGAACUCGAUCCUUACCUUUCUCAGGUUCUAGAAGCCAUCUGCAUUCCUUGGCUCCUGGCCCCUCCUUCUGUCUUCGAAGCCAAUUUCUUUCUAUCUCUGACCUCUGCUUCCAUCAUCACAUUUCUCUCUCUGACUCUGGUCCUCUUACCUCCCUCUUAUAAGGACAUUUGUGGUGACACUGGGCCCGCCCAGACAAUCCACGAUCAUCCUUAGCUGAAUCCCAUCCACAGCGUCCCUUUGGCACCUCAGGUGACAAGCUCACAAGCUCACAGGCUCUGGGGGCCAGGGCGUGGCCAUGGGGGGGAAGCCCUGUUGUGUCCUCCACAGCUGUCUUCCCUGCAGAGGCCAGGUUUGUCGUCGUUGAGAGGAGAGGAGGGGAGGCGGCCGACAGCGAGGGUUCCUUCGGAAAGCCCGGACUACUGGGCAUGGGCAGGUGCAUCCCACUGAGGGGCUGUGAGGUCCCCGACACCCCGAGGAGCAGCCCAGGGGGAGCUGGGGCAGAGGUGCUAGCAUGUCCCAUCCUGCUGGCCCCACACCCGAGGUUGGAGUGAUAGGUACCCGCUGGCAGGG